rnacentral:rRNA from 1 species
CCUACGGGAGGCAGCAGUGGGGGAUAUUGCACAAUGGGGGAAACCCUGAUGCAGCGACGCCGCGUGUAGGAAGACGGUCUUCUGGAUUGUAAACCACUGUCCCCAGGGACGAAAAUGACGGUACCUGGGGAGGAAGCUCCGACUAACUACGUGCCAGCAGCCGCGGUAAUACGUAGGGAGCAAGCGUUGUCCGGAAUUACGGGGUGUGAAGGGAGCGUAGGCGGGGAUGAAAGUUGGGUGUCAAGACUACCGGCUCAACCGAUAGUCGCACUCAAAACUGCAGCUCUUGAGUGAAGUAGAGGCAGGCGGAAUUCCUAGUGUAGCGGUGAAAUGCGUAGAUAUUAGGAGGAACACCAGUGGCGAAGGCGGCCUGCUGGGCUUUUACUGACGCUGAGGCUCGAAAGUGUGGGGAGCAAACAGGAUUAGAUACCCUAGUAGUC